GCGUGGACCACAUGGUGGUGAGGGCUCCACCUCCUCCGGUUGUUGUUGUGGACGCUGUAUCAAAUUUGGGCCUGGGGUCUACAUCAACCUGCCAAAUUUGAUUAACUUGUACUCUAAUGUUCAGUAAAACAUGGAGGAGUGAAACAAGUCGGCCUUACAACAUGUAAACAAACUACAACAAGACAACGCAUUUCAUCAAGAUCAGAUGAACUACUGAUUAGAGAAGUCGCAUAAAAAGCACUUUUAAAAAAGAGUCUGAAUGCAAUAGAAGAUAUUCUACCAUGCUCCGCAGCUAAUAACAUUGAUUCUUGUUUGACGUCAGAGACAAACUUCUGUGAAAGUUUCAAGUUGUUGCCAUGGCAAUGGCUGAUCCUGCUGAUCCGAGGUAAAUAGCCUUUACCAUAAUGUGUUGAGAAAGUUGUGUUUUCAAGCUGUUCAAUUUGUCUCUACUCCUCUCCUGCUUCUCUAGCUGCUCCAUCCUAUCAUCUGAUCUGAGGUAAACACACUAUUUGGCUUUUUCGUCUAUAUUUUUUUUACACUUGACGUCAGUUAGCCUGGCUUGGUGCUUUCAGCACUAUAAGGUACCUCAUUGUUCCUUUAUUAUUUUGCUGGGAUGGAGUAGUUUGCCUACCAUGAUUUGUACACCUGGAUUACAUGUUAUAAAAAAUCUAAAGCAUUUAAAGAAUACAUUCACAGUGUUAAGCUAAGGUUACAAAUUAUUUAAUUAUUAUAGAGAAUUGUGUUUCUAUAUUUAUAUCAAGUUUUUAUAUUUUUGUGAGCUUUGUAAUUUCUCCGUUUUUAUUGGAGACAAUAAAUUUUAUCUUAUAUCUUAUAUCUUCAGCAUCGUUAUGAACAACAAAAAUGAAAGUCAGCGUAGGCAUAUUAGAUUUAAAUAAGCAUUGAAGAUUGAUGAAACAAACAUCAACCACUUGUGCUUUUCUAAACAGUCUUUAUGAAGAUUAUAUAAAGAUUGAAAUUAUUUCCAUUCCCUGACAAAAACUCGACAGGUGCUUAGAGGUCACAGACACAAGCUGUUUUUAAAGGGAUGAUAAUGCCCAAACUAAUGUAAGCAAUCUAAACACCCACAGAAUAUAGUAAAUAAACAGAUUCAUUUCUGAGUCACGUUCAGUAGUGCA